GACGUAGGGAGCGAGCGUUGUCCGGAUUCAUUGGGCGUAAAGCGCGCGUAGGCGGUUUGGUAAGUCGGAUGUGAAAACCCGGAGCUCAACUCCGGGCCUGCAGUCGAUACGGGCGGACUUGAGUGUUGCAGGGGAGACUGGAAUUCCUGGUGUAGCGGUGAAAUGCGCAGAUAUCAGGAGGAACACCGGUGGCGAAGGCGGGUCUCUGGGCAACUACUGACGCUGAGGAGCGAAAGCGUGGGGAGCGAACAGG
rnacentral:rRNA from 1 species